UGACAUCCUGACAGAGGCCACAUAUCCACAUAUCCGCUCCCUGCUACAAAAACCUUGCCUAAAAUGAAGUGUAUCUAUUUCACACUACUUCUCAGAUGUUUCAGGUAAUACUGGCAACAUGCCUCUCUGAGAUCAGUCCACACUGAUUUAGCAGCUCAUUAAUGGAACUUUCAAUCUUUUCUCCCUCAAGGAUGUUGAUACCAUGGAUGGAGGGGAGACUACUAGCAGCUAAUUCAUGAGACAGAUAAAUGGAUGGACUCAUCAAGCCUAGUAAAUAAGACUAGCCCUUCUUUAUAGCAGCAGAGGAACCUUUCCUCAAAGGUAGCACAGAAACAGUGCCGUCUUUAAAAAGGCAUUUAAAUGCACAGUCUUGCUGUUGAUGUUACACUAUGAUUUAAUAUUUUUAGUAUGGCAUUAAAAGAGUAUCAGAAGAUCUCAGGAGUACUGUUCUGUCUUCUGGUAAAUACAGGUCUUUAAAGUGUGGGCUUUUAUAAAGAUUUGUGGAGCAAAUUGGUCACAAUAUUAACCAUUAUAUCUAAGGUGAAUGUUGGUAGGACUUUGAAUCAGAAAGUAGGGGUUAUGGAUUUUCAUGCCCUGUGAUGACAAGAGAUGGCACACACAGCAACAAUGUCCUUUCUAUCCUAGCUUUUUGCAAUCCUUGAAUUCCUGCAGUGAGUCGUUAGUGCUUACCACAUCUUUUUCUCCAUUCCAG